rnacentral:rRNA from 1 species
AUUGAACGCUGGCGGCAUGCCUUACACAUGCGAGUCGAACGGCAGCACGGGUGCUUGCACCUGGUGGCGAGUGGCGAACGGGUGAGUAAUACGUCGGAACAUGUCCUGUAGUGGGGGAUAGCCCGGCGAAAGCCGGAUUAAUACCGCAUACGAUCUACGGAUGAAAGCGGGGGACCUUCGGGCCUCGCGCUAUAGGGUUGGCCGAUGGCUGAUUAGCUAGUUGGUGGGGUAAAGGCCUACCAAGGCGACGAUCAGUAGCUGGUCUGAGAGGACGACCAGCCACACUGGGACUGAGACACGGCCCAGACUCCUACGGGAGGCAGCAGUGGGGAAUUUUGGACAAUGGGCGAAAGCCUGAUCCAGCAAUGCCGCGUGUGUGAAGAAGGCCUUCGGGUUGUAAAGCACUUUUGUCCGGAAAGAAAUCCUUGGCCCUAAUACGGUCGGGGGAUGACGGUACCGGAAGAAUAAGCACCGGCUAACUACGUG